UCCCUGGUGGUCCAAUGGCUAAGACUCUGCACUCCCAAUGCCGAGGGACUAGGUUCAAUCCCUGGUCAGGGAA
rfam:Ovis aries breed Texel chromosome 15, whole genome shotgun sequence.